rnacentral:misc_RNA from 1 species
AGCAGCCGCGGUAAUUCCAGCUCCAAUAGCGUAUAUUAAAGUUGUUGCAGUUAAAAAGCUCGUAGUUGAAUUUCGGGGUUAGUAGGUUGGUCAUGCCUCUGGUAUGUACUGGUCUCACUGAUUCCUCCUUCCUGAUGAGCCGUAAUGCCAUUAAUUUGGUGUUGCGGGGAAUUUGGACUGUUACUUUGAAAAAAUUAGAGUGUUUAAAGCAAGCUAACGCUUGAAUACAUUAGCAUGGAAUAAUGAAAUAGGACGUUCGAUCCUAUUUUGUUGGUUUCUAGGAUUGACGUAAUGAUUAAUAGGGAUAGUUGGGGGCAUUAGUAUUCAAUUGUCAGAGGUGAAAUUCUUGGAUUUAUUGAAGACUAACUACUGCGAAAGCAUUUGCCAAGGAUGUUUUCAUUAAUCAAGAACGAAAGUUAGGGGAUCGAAGACGAUCAGAUACCGUCGUAGUCUUAACCAUAAACUAUGCCGACUAGGGAUCGGAUGAUGUUAAUUUUUUCAAUGGCUCAUUCGGCGCCUU